rnacentral:rRNA from 1 species
AACGAACGCUGGCGGCAUGCCUAACACAUGCAAGUCGAACGAACCCUUCGGGGUUAGUGGCGCACGGGUGCGUAACGCGUGGGGAUCUGCCCAAAGGUUCGGAAUAACUCAGAGAAAUUUGAGCUAAUACCGGAUAAUGUCUUCGGACCAAAGAUUUAUUGCCUUUGGAUGAACCCGCGUAGGAUUAGCUUGUUGGUGGGGUAAAGGCCUACCAAGGCGACGAUCCUUAGCUGGUCUGAGAGGAUGAUCAGCCACACUGGGACUGAGACACGGCCCAGACUCCUACGGGAGGCAGCAGUGGGGAAUAUUGGACAAUGGGGGAAACCCUGAUCCAGCAAUGCCGCGUGCGUGAAGAAGGCCUUAGGGUUGUAAAGCGCUUUCACCUGUGAUGAUGAUGACAGUAGCAGGAGAAGAAGCCCCGGCUAACUCCGUG